GUUGGUGAGAGUGAGCGAUUGAUGUCACACUUCUUUUGUGUUAGGUUAAUCUGUGGCAUUAGCUCUUCCAUCAGUGGCUUAAUGAAGCUGAGUGACUUGAGUUUGCUGUGGCGGUGUUCGGAGAUGUAAUUCUCUCUUCGCAGGUUUUCCCUUUGAUUGGUGGUCUCACUAUGUAACUUUGACUGACUUGAAACUCACUAUGUAAACCAGGAUGCCUGAAAUUCACAAAGACCUGCCUUCCUCUGCCUCUCAAAUGCUGGUUAAAGGAGUAGGCACCACUACUUGAAAUAAAGAAAUAUGUUUUGCUUGCUAAAGAGUUUUGGUGGAUUUAUCAGCUAGACCUUCAUAACUGCGUGCGUAACCAGGAAACCUGUUCAAAGGCAGUAGAGAAAUCCAGGCCGCAUGUCGUGCCUGUCAUGCUGGUGUGCAGAAGGCUUCAAGGUCCUGCAGUUUUCUGGUUCUGUCUUGGGUGACUCCUGUCUUCACCGCGGCAGGGUGGCCACUGCAGUUGCCUUUCAGACAUAGAGGGAGGAGAGUCAACAGACACACUUACUGGCUGUCUGACAAGCCCAAAUUCUCAAGAUCAUACUUUCAUCUUUUGGUUGGAGCUAGGUUAUGGUAGUUCCUUACCUACCUGAAAAUGAGUGUUUUUAACAAGGCACAUGGUUGUCCCGUCUGCAGCAAGGAAGGUGGGGUAAGAGACGUCAUCUAAGCAACUAAAGUGUCUGCCAGGAAGCUGAAGGAAGCCCUUAGAUGGCUUGGCACCCAUGCUAAUUCUUACUCAUCAAUAAACAUGCAGUCUAAGUAAUUUUAUUUUAAAAAUAUCAGUUGGAUUGCUUUCAUUUUUCCUGUCAUAAAUUUUAUAAUGUGGCAUUAUCCUCACAUUUGCUUCUGUAACACAGUCCUGACUUUUAGUAAUUACUGCUCUGAAGUACGCAUGAGUCAUAUGCUCUGAGAAACCCCACAAAGCAAAUCCAUCGUUCACUGCAUCCACAUCCCCUGAUGACCUAUUCCAAUCCUUCUCCCUCUCCAGGUCUCGAGGUGGCCAAGUCCUUAACUUCUAAUACCACUCAUAAACUUUAUUUUGAACUCUAACUAACUCUAAGUUUACAGAAUGACAUAAACUACUUAGGCUGUUUUCAAAUCAUGUAUUAAUUCAUUGUAAUUAAUUAAUUAUAAUUACUUAGUUGCAAUUAAUAUUAACGGGAGCAUUCCUUUAUGCACAGUUCUGAGUUAUAGAGAUGUAAGUCUUUAGCUUUUAUAGCGAUUGCUAAGCAGUUGUUUAAAAACUAUUGUGUAAGGGCAGGGGGGAUGGCUUAGUGGGUAAGAAUACUUACUGAGCACAUGUGAGGAUCUGAGUUGGGA